CGUGACAUUCCUCAGCAAGCACCAGCACAAGGAAGGGAUGAGAUGUGCACAACUGUGAUGGCAAGGCCCAAGGUUGGCAGUGCAGUCCCUCAGUGUGAGCUGCUGGGAUCAGCAUGGUGUCUGGUGGAAAACUGUUCAAUUUGCUGCAUCUGUAAAACUGCUUUAGUCCUGGAUUCCUCCUUGGACCUGGCACUUGCCUGUGCACACACAGACAUCAGAGAUUUGGAACGAGAUCAUCUUUAAGGUUGCUCCCAACCCAAGCAUUUCUGUGAUCUGGUGGUGGUGGUGAAGCCAAGGAUGUGCCUUCAGUGAUGGACAUGGAAAAGACACCACCCAGUCAGCUCAUCCUGCCAACAUUAUCAGCCCCUCCGAGCUCCUGCUGGAACAUGGAAACGCUCCCGGGUUUUUAAUUAAACACUGUCACAGCUAUAAAAAAAGAAUGUACAUCUUUUAAUAGCAACAUGAGAGCAGCCAAGAGCGAGCUACCUGGCCUCAGCCUUCCUGGUCACUUCACGUUGCAAGACACAGCUCUAUUUAAUUAAUUAUUUCGUUUCUUCGUUGCCAGCAAGGGUAAAUUAUGGAAGACUGGUCGAGGCACUGAAAAAAUAAGCAUCUUGCCACGACCUUGUUAUUUUAUCUCGCAGCUGGCAGUGCCAACUUUUCCUGCAUUUUUUAAAAUUUUUCUGUAUUUAAAUAAUUUCUGCUGAUACCCUGCUUCAUUCCUGUUCCAGAUCACGACGCUGGCGAUCGCUCCUUCGCACAGAACCCCGAUUAUUCCUGUUUUUUCCCCAAGUCCCGGCUCGCAGCCGGCCGGAUUUCCCAGGGCGCAGCGCCACCGCCUGCCCGCAGCCCUGCGCGCCCCAGUUCCAAAAACCCGGCUUUGCUCCUUGCUGCACCUUCUCCAUUUCACUGCCUCACACCUACAGCGAGAGGGACCCGUGGAUCAGAGAGUUCUGCGGGGCUUUGAGCGCGAAGGGACAUUAAAGAUUAUAUA